ensembl:ncRNA lncRNA:CR45573 long non-coding RNA:CR45573
CACAGGAGCGGAGGAUGGAGGAUGAGGGGUAGGAUAUGGAUACAUGGUAGCCGAAAGUAGGUGAAGCAGCCGCUAACGAAGACCAACUGGAGGAUGGGAUGGGAUGCUCAGGAGGAAGGGAAGGGAAGGAGGCACCAAGCCAGUAUCAAUGGGAGGCAAUCGGACAUGCCGACGCAUUGGCAGCCAACACAAAAAGAAACUAACUCACAAAGUCUAGAGUGGGUGGCACUCGACUCACGCACUGCGUUGUAGGAAUCUGGCGGGGAUUCCCAGGAGGCAGGGAAUCUGGUCUUUUAGGGACAACAAUGCGCGGUUCGAUUUGUUUGCGAUUUGGAUAGAGCAAAUUUACAGCGGCCGAAAAAUGUCCCAUGUCUAAAACGUCCACAUUUCUCAUUGAAAAUAUCCGUAGGUGGUCAAAAUCCUGAAACCAGAUGGAGUAAGAAGUGUCGUAUACUUAUACCAGUCAACUUCCUAUGAUCCCAAAAAAGAGAUUCGUGCUUUACCUCGGGACUCAGGCGCUUACCCAUUCCGUUCGAAACCCAUUUGUAUAUCCUCGGAGCCCCUAUAACGGCUUUCAUUAAUGUUCAUAACUUGAUCUCCGGUUAGGAUAAUUUUAGUUUUAAUUGCUUUAGAAGCAUUAAUGCAUAUUUCCUAGAAGAAAACGAAAUAGAAACCGAGUUCGGAAUCAGCAUCUAAAUUGAAUAAAAUAUUAUGAGCUCUCUGAGGCUCAAGUGCUCCCUGUUUGCACAUCUCUGCAGGAAACCCUCAUCACUGACUGCUUAGUGAGAUAACCCAAAUUCUGCAUAACUGUUCCACUCCAGUUUGGUCUCUUGAUCUUCCAGCCGCAUAUCUCCUUUCUGUGGACUCCACCCUGCCUGCCAUACUGCAUACUGCACUAAGCACCUCAAAGUCGCCCCGACAACGAGAAAGUUCAUUAUAUUUCCAUUUCCAUUUGCGUGGCGUCGGCGGCGUCGAUCUGCAAAUUAUCCUGACACCCGGCUCCAUCCAACAUCUAAUGCCGUUUCAGCAUCGCUUUCAGUUACUUUUGGAUUCGGUUUCGAGGCAAUACGAGAUCCACUUGACCAUCGUCCAGGUCGACAGUUGCGUGUUUUCCAGAUUUCGGUUUCGUGUUGAAGUAAAUGGAGAGUGAAGUGGAAGAGGGUGGAUCGAGGCGUUAUUUUGACUUUGAUAUUAUAACCGCAAUUAGUCGACAUGGUUUCGAGUGCUAUCUCUGGCAUCUGCGCUUGCCUUGAAUAGACUGCGCUGCCUGGACCGCCUUCUUUCUUGGAUUCCAGUGAGAGUUCGCAUGGAUUCCAUUUCCCUGAGUUUUCCGCCAUCUUGACCGUCUCGAGCGGCGAGCCUCAAGUGGCGGAUGAUUGGGCACGAGAAGCACUGGACAGCAGGAAAAACUUCCUCCCUGGGAGUGACUCAGCCUUCAUUUCCACCCAGAUGUAUAUGGAGUGUAGAUUGAGAUUUAAGCUGAGAUCGAUUGGGCUUGGAGUGCGAGUAUUAAGCUUUCGAUUGCUCAAAGAAGAGGUUGAAUGUCAAAAAGAAAAAACAUGAAACGGGAAUCUGAGCGCAGGAUGCCUGUACCUUGUGUUUGCAGUCCGCCAUAAGUAAGUCGAAAUCGGAAUCAAAUUUCCUGUCAAUUAGAGCAGCGACUGCGACGAGAUCUCCGCCCCUUCUUUGAACCGGGGAGCGGCUCCCAGCACUCAAUUAAUUAGUACCUCCGUCUAAAAGGGGAAAGGGGCACGGAUAGUGGACAGUUCCAAGCCGAAUCUGCUGGAGCGAGGAGAUAUACAAAGAACUACCAGCAAACUGACCAGCGGAGCUCAUCAAGCCACCUACGCUUACGGUACUCGACCAACUGCAAAUUAAUCUCCCUCCUCCUGCUCCCCCUCCUCCUCAUUCUCUGACCGACACACUCCCGGUUUCUUUGCAGAUCUGGGAAUAGGAAUAGGAAGCCCCGGGGCCUGCCACACUUCUGAAGUCAUUUUCCAAAUGCUUGACAAUUUAUCAUUCCGCUUUAUUUGGGCAAUUUUUCUGUUCGUCAAGUGCUCUUGGCCAAAGGGAACAGAAAACUGGCAAAAAGGUAGCACUUGGCAGAAGUCAAUGGCUUGACCCAUAUCUGGGUCAGUCUGAUUGAGAAGCCGGCGGCCGUCGACUGCCAAAAAUGUUAAUUAAUUCGAAUUAAAAUGUUGCGAAUGUGGUCGCUGACAGAAUCUGAGUUCGGCAAAGGAAAUGUAGUUGGUCUCUGGAUGUAGAGAUGGCAUAGGAGUUCCGAAACGGAGUAGAGUCAAGAUAUGCCGAAGAAGGCGGUGGCGUUGGCAGUUUUCCGUUGGCCAGAGUCACCUGAACCGCUGAUAACUCAGGCCACCGAUUCCGUUUCCAUUUCUAUUGUACUUGGAGCGGCUUUCGGUUUUGGUGGUUCUGCGGUUUUGCAACGGACCAAAGGCCAGGCCAGAAUUUUGAUAUUGAAAUUGCUACCUUGGCACACCGAGAAGCCGAACACAGAGGAAAUUCUGCCGGAGGCCAUGGUUUGAUAACAUCAGUUCGAGGGGGAGGAACUCGAGGAGGAGCGCCUCCCACUAUAGGCCGACGUACUGUAGGAAAACAAAAGACAACAAUUCCAUUUGGUAAACGCUCGCCCUGGGAGGAAAGCGGGAAAUGCAACGCCAUGGCGAAAAAAGAAUGAAAAAUAAUCUAAAGUUUGGACGUGGAGUUGCAGCUCAGUUCGGUUUUGGUUUCGGUUUGCGUUUGCUUUAGUCAAAUGUAACUACAAUUUAAAUGCUAAUCUGGCAUCUGUUGGCGGUCGGAGGUUGGCGGAUUUCGGAUGGUGGGCAAUGGCACUGCAGAACGCAGCAACAUGGGCAAACAGCCCGCCCAUGAACCGCCCACCGAUUGGUGGGUGUGCAGGAGGAGGAGGUGGAAUCGGGGAAGUAUGGAGUAUAGUCACACUUAGCGGUUGGAGACGGGAUUUGCAUUUGCUCAUUAGCUACCAAAACAAACCCACAAAUAAAGGAGGCGAACAUUCAGAGGCCCAUGCCCUCAAAGGUGCUUAUUUAUUGUACAAUCUGACUCCUGACUGACUCCGCUGUAUAAUUAGUUUUCACGCCUAUAAACUGCCGACUUUAUUUGUGGCGGACGCCUGCUCUGGAUUCCCAGCGAAAUUGGCCACAAAAAUGUCGGAUCUCGGAUUUCUGGCCGAGGUUCAACGGAACACACUACCACCUAUCCCCCCGAACGGUUUCUUGGAAACCGCGACACUUGAGAACACUAAAAAUACAAAUACGAAUAGAAUCAGAAAUAAGAAGUAAGCCAAAACUAGCAGCACUAUCAAGAGCGAAAGAACAUUUGUAAACUGCCAAUUAUUAUGAAAAGUAAAGACAGCCACAUCGGCC